rnacentral:rRNA from 1 species
CCUACGGGAGGCAGCAGUGGGGAAUAUUGCACAAUGGGGGAAACCCUGAUGCAGCGACGCCGCGUGAGUGAAGAAGUAUUUCGGUACGUAAAGCUCUAUCAGCAGGGAAGAAAAUGACGGUACCUGACUAAGAAGCCCCGGCGAACUACGUGCCAGCAGCCGCGGUAAUACGUAGGGGGCAAGCGUUAUCCGGAUGUACUGGGUGUAAAGGGAGCGUAGACGGCAGCGCAAGUCUGGAGUGAAAUCCCAUGGCUUAACCAUGGAACUGCUUUGGAAACUGGGCAGCUAGAGUGCAGGAGAGGUAAGCGGAAUUCCUAGUGUAGCGGUGAAAUGCGUAGAUAUUAGGAGGAACACCAGUGGCGAAGGCGGCUUACUGGACUGUAACUGACGUUGAGGCUCGAAAGCGUGGGGAGCAAACAGGAUUAGAUACCCUUGUAGUC